UCGAGAAUCUUUCGCAAUGGGCGAAAGCCUGAUGGAGCGACGUCGCGUGAUGGACGAAGUGCUUCGGCACGUAAACAUCUUUUUAUGUGGGAUGAAAUUAUUGACAGUACCACAUGAAUAAGGGGCUCCUAACUCUGUGCCAGCAGGAGCGGUAAUACAGAGGCCCCAAGCGUUAUCCGGAAUCACUGGGCGUAAAGGGUGUCGAGGCGGUUGUAUUAGUCGUUCGUAAAAUCUACGAGCUUAACUUGUAGGCGGCGAACGAAACGGUACGACUUGAGGUUUGGAGAGGUGCGUGGAACUCACGGUGUAGGGGUGAAAUCCGUUGAUAUCGUGGGGAACACCAAAGGCGAAGGCAGCGCACUGGCCAAAAUCUGACGCUCACACACGAAAGCUAGGGUAGCGAAGAGGAUUAGAUACCCGGGUAGUCCCUGAGCGGGCUGGCAAGGCGCAU
rnacentral:rRNA from 1 species